rnacentral:lncRNA from 1 species
CAUCGAUGUCGGCCUUGGGCAGGCUCACAUCCACAUCUGGACCUUCUCCUUUGAAGCCAGGCAUGCUGAAUUUGGGCAUUUUCACCUUGGGCAUCUUCAGGUGCCAGUCUGGGCCAUGAACAUCCACAUCAGGGGUGUUGAUGUCCACUUUUGGGCCCUUGAUGUCACCUUCCACUUUAGGAAGGGUAACAUCCACAUCGCCCUUCACUUUGGGUCCUUUCA